rnacentral:rRNA from 1 species
CCUACGGGAGGCAGCAGUGAGGAAUAUUGGUCAAUGGACGAGAGUCUGAACCAGCCAAGUAGCGUGAAGGAUGACUGCCCUAUGGGUUGUAAACUUCUUUUAUAUGGGAAUAAAAUGUUCCACGUGUGGGAUUUUGUAUGUACCAUAUGAAUAAGGAUCGGCUAACUCCGUGCCAGCAGCCGCGGUAAUACGGAGGAUCCGAGCGUUAUCCGGAUUUAUUUGGUUUAAAGGGAGCGUAGGUGGAUUGUUAAGUCAGUUGUGAAAGUUUGCGGCUCAACCGUAAAAUUGCAGUUGAAACUGGCAGUCUUGAGUACAGUAGAGGUGGGCGGAAUUCGUGGUGUAGCGGUGAAAUGCUUAGAUAGCACGAAGAACGCCGAUUGCGAAGGCAGCUCACUGGACUGCAACUGACACUGAGGCUCGAAAGUGUGGGUAUCAAACAGGAUUAGAUACCCGAGUAGUC